rnacentral:lncRNA from 1 species
CUUUUUCUUGUUAAAAUUAUUCUUUAUGAGAAAAAAUAUAUUCACACACAUGCUACAAAUAGAAGCCAACACACCAAAGUAAGUAACUAUUGCUAAAAGCUGGCUAAUUGAAAUGUAAUUCACUCAUGCAAAACACACACACACAGAGAGAGGGAGAGAGAGAGAGAGAGAGAGAAUAUGAAUUUUGGCCUUGCAGCCCUUUCUGAAGUCAUAUGAAUGUCUCAGUGUUUGCACUUGAAAAACUGGAAGAAAAAUCAAUUGCAUGAAAACACGAAAUCGGGGGCUGUUGUGGGGAGACAUUUGCAGAGGAAGUGACUUCAAGGUGCAUGCUGAAGGAUGAAUCAAAUGAGGAAAUCAUCAGAACAAUGUGUACAAGAUGAAGAGACAGCAAAGAAGAGCUGCUGACCACUGGGCACUGGACAACCAAUUGGUGUAUUCUUUCCUGGAUAUUCCUUCUGGACCCCUGGAUCAUUCUCAGGAAGACUCAAUUUCAGAUGCCAAGCUGUGGUGGUCAUCACUCACUUGUCCUUUCAAAGACAACAUUCAUUCUUGUCUUCUGAGUUUUCAUAUUUACAACCUUCCUCCUAUCAAGGAAUACUGAAGUUUUAUUCACUAUUAUCAAGGAAUAGUGAUGUUUUAUGAUACGUAAUAACUAUUCACUUCAAGGUUAAGAAGCAGCUUUAGACUUACGAUCUAUCUUUCUGAAAGUGCAGUUCAAAAUUGCUCCAGAGUCUUGCUCUUCAAAACUAUCAAAACCAUACAAGACAAAAAAAAAUUUAUAUUACAGUCUUUAAAAAAUUACAGGGAUAACAAGAUGGCUCAGUUUAUAUAAAGGCACUUGUCAUCAAACCUGACGACCAGUCCUUCCACAAUAAAUUAACUAAAUAAAAUUUAAUGCAAAUAAAAUAAAUAAAAUAAAUGAUCUUGGCACUCACCUUGCAGUAAAAAAAAAUAUUUGAAUAAUUGGAGUGCUGCAUAUUAUGUUGUUCAAUUUAGCUAAUAUCUUUGGCUCACUCUGUUGGACUAUACUGUAAUUUGUCUGAAAGUUUCGAUUAAUAUAAAAAAGAAGACUGAGGAAAAUAAACAAGAAACAAACAACAGAGAAUGUACCUUUGUAUUGGCAGUAGGGAUGGGUUUAAGAAGAUUUCUUUCCUAGUGUAGGGGCAUACAUUUAAAAAUAGAAAAGGAAUCCUAUAAAUGAGCUUAGUAAGAAUAAAAGUAAUAACAAAAUAGCUUUAAAAAAUGAAAUUAAUUACAAAACUAUGAACAGUUGCUUCAAAAAAGAGAUAUAAGGAUAAGAUAAAUGCAACAACUAGAUCAUUAGAAAAAAUGGGACCUAAAAUGUAUGUGAAUCACCGCAGACAUGUUCUCUGAAUAAAAUAAACACAAUUGUGAAAUGUUUGGUUCAAAAGAAAUGGUGACUGUACAAGCCAGAGCGUGAGUGGCAUCACCAUGGAUACAGAUAUACAAUACCAACAUAUUUGAACAUCCACCUGAAGUUGAUGAUGUAAUAGAAAAAUAGAAGUUCAAUCAAGAAAAUGAAGAAUAUCUGAAUGCUCUGGAUACACACAUAUCCUCAAACUAUACCUCAACACUGUGGUGGUACCGCUUCUAGUGAGGAAGAGAAGCAUUUGGUUAUUGGGACAAUUCAACACUGAAAAAUGUCAGUUUCCUUCAACAGAAUUAUAAAUUUAAUCUUCUCUCAAUCAAAAUUCCAUUAUAGUCUUUCACACAUACUACAAAUCUAAUUCUAAGUUUAAAUGAAAGAGAAUGUUGACAAAUAGAGCAAAGAUCUCUUGGAAAACAGGAAAUAAUGAGGUACUGUGUCUAUCCAAAUACUAUAUAUAAAAAAGCAGCAAUUCAGCAAAUGAUAUGAAUGUGUCGUAGCACUCAUCUGUGGAGAGUGAUGGGGAUUUCAGACAUGGAUCAAUGGACAUAGAAGUAUUGUGUGUUACAUGUAUACUUCAUAAGAUGAUGUUAAGACAGUUGAUAUAUUUUUAAAAAUUUUUAUGUACUAUGCAUGUGUAUAAGUCUGCAUGCAGUUAUGUGCCUGUGAAUACAGGUGCUAUGGAGGCCAGAAAUGGGUAUCAGAUAUCUUGGAUAUGGGGUUAAUUACGAGCUGCCAGACCUGGGUCCUCUGUAAGAGCAGUAUAUAUUUCUGAACUAAUCAGCCGUCUUUCCAUCCCCAUUGACUUUCUCUUAGGAAAGACAAGUUUAAACAUCUACUUCUUAAUAUUUACACAAAUAAAACAAAAUUCCAAAAAGAAAUAAGAUAUAAAACCUCUUUAAAAAUUAUAUGCAUAUUCAGAGUACUUGGGGAAAGUGGUUUUGGAGUCUUGAGACAAAAUAGAUCUUUCUACACAUAAACCAGUUUGAAAGUACUACUUGAAAGGUAGCACUGAUAGGAAAGAUGUCCAGAGACCUCCGGGCCACUACAGGACAUGAGUAGGCCUCAGUUACACAAAACCCUGCCAGUGACCAUGCAAUGCUUCAGUGUGGGAGGGACAGCUAUCCAAAAACCUGCCCACUGCCAUGCCGCAAAGGGGGUGGAGGGACCAUAGACACCUAGAGGCCCUGUUGCUGCCACAUUAUGCAAUGCUGGCAUUGAGGUCAGCCAGAGGCCUGCCCACUUACAGAGGAAGCCACUGCAAUGUGCAAGUAUGUGGUAGACAGAGGGGAGAAAGAGAAGUGGAACAGUUUGAGCAUUGUGAAGAGAGAUGGAACUGGAGACACAAGGGUCGAGAGGAAUAGUCUCUUGUGAGUGGGCGGCCUGCUGAGGCUAUAGUGACGUCUCAACCUGUGCUGCUUCUGAGGGUUAUGCAGUGGCAGGAGUCUUUGUCCAUGUCCAUGGUUCAUAUUACCACUAGACACCAUGUGGACAUCCUUGGUCUGGGCAAAGGCCUGAGCACACUUACAUGUUCAAGGGCACUACAAAAUUGGUCCUGUCCCUAACUAGCCACAGUUCUUGCCCCUCUAUACCUUGCCUGAGCAGCACAAUAGAGCUGUCCCCGAUGGGGGAGGUGGGGUACAAGUGAGCCAGCCACCUAAAGCAGUCAGUAGAGCUGGCCCUGAGGUCUUGAGAUCAAGUGAGCUGGCCCUGACCCUCAUUGACUAUAGCUCUUGGUAGAGCACGUCCCGUACCUCACCUGGGCAGCACAGCAAAGCUAGUCCUGGCUGUAGGUGGGGGUGGGAGUGGAGGGUGAGAGUGAGCCAGCUCCAGGGGCUAGAGGGAGGGAGGGCUUGACUUGCCUUUUUUCUGCUCUGAGCACCUCAGAAUAGCACAGACAUGGGGGUGAUGCCCUCUACCCCAUUGUCCCUUGCCACUGGAGGCAGUUAGGAGAGCUGGCCCUGAGGUUAUGACAACUGGAGAGCUGGACAUUCCCCUCCCUUGGUAGAUAGAGCAGGCCCUGCAUCUUGAUGGAGCAACAUAGUGGACCUGGCUCUGAUGGUAAAGGCACCAGUGAGCCAGCCCUGAGAACAUGAGAGCAAAGAUCUGUCCCAGGCCCCUCUCAGGCUGGCUGUAGCCCUUUUGACAAUAUGUACUCACUGAUAAGUGGAUAUUAGCCCAAAACUUAGGAUACCCAAGAUAUAAG